rnacentral:tRNA from 1 species
GUAAGUUGGUGGAAUAGUUUACACACUCGGCUCAUGACCGAGGUUAUAGAGGUGCAAGUCCUCUACUUACA